ACCAAUGCAGACAGUCGAGGAGUCGGUGUGCUGCAGGGAGUUGCACAAUGUGAGUACCUCAAGCUCCGGUACUUCUGCCCUCUUGAUGCAGGAGACAGGGGCCCACAAGAGAGGCACCGCUACACUGCCUACCGGC